rnacentral:snoRNA from 1 species
AACCCCUGGUGAGGGCACCUUCUCAAGAGGUCCUUAUAUCUCUCCCAUGCAUUGUAAAGUGUUUCUAAAUCCAUUUGUACAAAAGAAGAGAUAUCAUUACGUAAUUU